ACGGAGGUCUGGCCGCCCCCCGCCCCUUGGUGGGUCCCCCGGCCGCCCGCUCGGAGCAGCUGCACUCACUGCCUGGCUGCGCGCGCCCAGCGCCUGCAGGGCCCGGCGGCGGCGGCGGCGGCGGGGACCGAGACAGCGGCUGCAGCAGCGGCGGCGGCGGCGGCCCUAGCCGGCGUCAGUCAGACUGGAGCCGCGAAGCCUCAUCGCCCGUAUUAGUGCGCCGACCUGGAAAGCCGCCAGGAGCCCUGCUCGCGGGUCCGCCCCCGCCCGCCGCCGCCGCGCGCCCAGAGCCGCUUGGGGAGCCCGCGAGGAGGGGGAGCGCGGCCCGCCCCGCGGCCACGUGCGCGGAAGCCCGCGGCGGGGGCGCCUCGGGGACGUCCCGGCGCGGGGUCUCCCGGGCCCCCGGGCGGCGUCCUCGUCCUCCCGUGGGACCCGACUCCCCUUGUCCGCGGCUCGGCCCCCUCGGCUGGGCGGCGGGGGCACCUCGCGUCUCUCUCCCCGAGACGUCCUGCCUCCCCACCUGGAGCCCGAGGCCGGAGUACCGUUUCCAGAACUCGAGGUGUGGGACCGACAAAUCGGUUUGGAAACCGCCACCCCCAACAAGUGGCUCUUCCCGAAGUGUUUCUGGGCCCCGAGGGUGGCUGUUCCUUGCUGUUUGUCUCUUACUUGCUUUGCAAGAGUAAAGGGGGUCAUUACCCCCAACCGACAGCGCCAGAGUAACUGGUUUGCCCCUGCAUAAGCGGAUGAAAAUCGACUCACUCAGAGUGGUGAGUGGUGGUUAAAACUAGGCUAGGUGUUAAGUUUGAGAUCGCUCUGGGUGUGAAAGUCCAGGGAACCUUUGGACUGCUACCAAUGGCACCUCCUGGGCAUUUUAUUGCAGGUGCAUUAGACAAGGCAGAGGACUCAACGCAGAGCAAGAAGCCAUAACCUCUGCAGUGCUGGCUUGGGCUUCCAGCACAGUCUUUAUAGGUUCUCCGAGUUCUCUGGGCUCUUGGCAGGACUUGCUUCUGCAGAUUCUUUGAAGCAGGUGACACAGGAGACACGGAUUCGAUCCCUGGUUUGGGAAGAUCCCCUGGAGGAGAGCAUGGCAGCCCACUUCAGUGUUCUUGCCUGGAAAAUUCCACAGACAGAGGAGCUUGACGGGCUACAGUCCAUGGGAUCACAAGGAGUCGGACAGGACUGGGUGAGCAUGCACACGCAUUACAGCUUCCACCAAAAAACUACACUACAGGUCAUGGGUUGUGAUUUGGUAGAAAUGCCAGUAAGAUUUUGGUUCAAAACCUGAAAACCAUGGCAAAAUGAAACCCCCCUCCCUUUUCUGAAUUACAAGUACUUGGCAGAACGUGAGCUUCUGCAGCCCAUAAACUGGUGGUAGGGUAGCCCCCUCACCCGUGAGAAGGUUCAUUCUUUUCACUUGUCAUAUGCCCAGCACAGUGCAAGGUCGUGACCAAGUCUGCAGUAAACCAUAGAUGCAAAGAUCCUGCUUUGUACAUCUGUUGUACCAAUGCCUGCCUCUGGUCUUCUUUUUGAAAAUCUAAAAUAAUUGUGUGUUUGUGUGUGUGUUGAGGGGUGAAGUUAGAGGCGAUUCAUGGUCGUUUUGGGGAAGCGGUGGGCACGUUGAAGGACUUGGAGAGAGAGUCAUAUAGUUCACAAAACUUACCUUUAUAGUAAGGAUAAGGUUUAUUCUUAUUUUUAUGUAGAAGUUAAUUAUUUGAUGGUAUAUUUUACAUACACUCCAAACCAGUUAUAAUGACUUUUUCAUUUAAAUAUCAUCCGCUUAUUUCAGUAUCAUUUUUGUGGGUUGUGGUGCUUGAUUUUGUGGCAUCUGAUCCCUCCAGAACUCUAUGGGGUCCCAUUCUUUUUGAAUAGCAGGAGUUUAAGAUGAAGAUAAAUUUAGUUUUGAUUUGGGAACUUUGUGAAUAUGUUCUGAAAUAGAAGGCAGUAUCCUAAGGCAUCACACAGUUAUGGUUGAGUUUUGCUAUUAAGCACGGGUGUCUUAACCAACUGAAAUUUAUUUCUCACAGCAGUUCUAGAAGUCCAAGAUCAGGGUGUUGGCAGAUUCGGUGUGUGGUGAGAACCCUUUUUCCUUGUUUGCACAUGGUUGUCUUUGCGUUAUAGCCUCAUGUGCCCAAGAGAGCAAGCUCUCCUCUCUUUCUCUUUUGUAAGGACACUGACUCUGUCAUGGGGGCUUCCAUGUGACCUCAGGUUCCCUCAUGACCUUAUCUAAACCUAAUCAUCCCCAAAGGCCCCACCUCCUAAUACCAUCCCUUUAACCAAACGCUUCAAGUCAAGUUUUUGCCUUUAACUCAAAUUGAUGAGGAAAAGUUUCUCCCUUUCUAUUUUAAAGGACAGGCUGAGCCCACUAGACCAGCAAGUUGCCUGGCUGGAAGAUGCAAGUUUCUCCCUGGUGUUUAUCAACAGGUUGACUUUUUGCCAUGCUCUGUGACAUUUUCUUUUUUAUAAGGGCUUGAUAAAGUUUAUCACAUACACACUGCUCUUUAUUUUUAAUUUAUAGAUGACUUCUGAUGGAAUGAAUCCUAGGAGAAAUAGAAGAGAUAUUCAAAACUCUUUAAAUGAGACUAAAAGAACAUCUCUGAAAGCAUUUUCUGUACAAAUAUAAUGUUUCAUGUUCAUACAGAAUUUAAGAUUAAUAAAGGAUCUUAAUCGUUGUCUGUGCUUCUAUCAUACUGCAUAUUGUUUGGUAAGCCUUAGUCUACUUUUAAGACCUCUAUUGAAAAUAGUUAAGCAUAGAAGAAAACAGAUUCAUUACUUUUGGCUUUCCUCUUUAAGAGAGAAGUUUGGGUGGAGGGAAAAAAAAAUCAUAUUACCUUAGAAUAAAGGUCAUAAACAAACAAUAAAAUAUGAGAUAUUAUUCUGCAUCUAUUAUUGUUUAGUCACUAAGUCGUGUCUGGAUCUUUGCGACCCCAUGGACUGUAGCGCACCAGGCUCCUCUGUCCAUAGGUUUUCCCAGGCAAGAAUACUGGAGUGGGUUGCCAUUUCCUUUUUGAGGGGAUCUUCUCCACCCAGGGAUAGAAUCUGCAUCUCCUGCAUUGUGGUCAUGUAUGGAUGUGAGAGUUGGACUGUGGAGAAGUCUGAGCGCCAAAGAAUUGAUGCUUUUGAACUGUGGUGUUGGAGAAGACUCUUGAGAGUUCCUUGGACUGCAAGGAGAUCCAACCAGUCCAUUCUGAAGGAGAUAAGCCCUGGGAUUUCUUUGGAAGGAAUGAUGCUAAAGCUGAAACUCCAGUACUUUGGCCACUUUAUGUGAAGAGUGACUCAUUGGAAAAGACUGAUGCUGGGAGGGAUUGGGGGCAGGAGGAGAAGGGGACGACAGAGGAUGAGACGGCUGGAUGGCAUCACUGACUCGAUGGACAUGAGUCUGAGUGAACUCUGGGAGUUGGUGAUGGACAGGGAGGCUUGGCGUGCUGCGAUUCAUGGGGUCACAAAGAGUCGUACACAACUAAGCAACUGAAUGAACUGAAACAGGAUUUUAAAUUUUACAAUCUCGAUUCAUUUCUUUCUUUAUAUAAUCUUGAUUCUCUCUUCUCUUUAAUGGAAAGAGAAUAGUAAUCAUAGUGGAAAAUACUGGGUCAAACGCUUACCCUACCUUCUUCAGUAUGAGAACCUGUUACCCUCUGCUAAUACUUUUUAUCUUAAAAAAGACAGAUUGGGCUGUAAUUGCACACUUAGCUUACUGAUUCUCCAGCAGUGGGUCAUAGCUUCCCAGCUGUGAUGUCAGAAGAUUGCCUAGGGGAUUGCAAUGCCUGUAACCUCUGUUUUUGCCCCUUUACCCUCCCUCAUCUAUAAUAAACUGUCUUAUAAAUUCUGCUAUAUACAUUUAGAACCACAUCAGACUUUUAUAGUGUUUGCUUCCACCAUCAAACAUAAUAUAAAACUCUUGAAAAGAA
ensembl:lncRNA